AUUGAACGCUGGCGGCAUGCCUUACACAUGCAAGUCGAACGGCAGCACGGGAGCAAUCCUGGUGGCGAGUGGCGAACGGGUGAGUAAUAUAUCGGAACGUGCCCAGUCGUGGGGAUAACGUAGCGAAAGCUACGCUAAUACCGCAUACGAUCUAUGGAUGAAAGCGGGGGAUCGCAAGACCUCGCGCGAUUGGAGCGGCCGAUAUCAGAUUAGGUAGUUGGUGAGGUAAAGGCUCACCAAGCCGACGAUCUGUAGCUGGUCUGAGAGGACGACCAGCCACACUGGGACUGAGACACGGCCCAGACUCCUACGGGAGGCAGCAGUGGGAAUUUUGGACAAUGGGCGCAAGCCUGAUCCAGCAAUGCCGCGUGCAGGAUGAAGGCCUUC
rnacentral:rRNA from 1 species